CCAUCGGUGGUUCAGUGGUAGAAUGCUCGCCUGCCACGCGGGCGGCCCGGGUUCGAUUCCUGGGCGAUGCA
rnacentral:tRNA from 1 species